UGUGCCUGUUAUAUACGGUCUGAUUUGCUGUUGUUUGUAUGUAUGUGUUACAUAUAUGUGGUGAAGGGAACGGAUGGGAAGGGAAAGGCGAGAGAGAGAGAGAGAGAGAGAGAGAGAGAGAGGGGGGACACAAGGGGAGAGGGGGGAGGAAGAAAAGAGGUGCGAUUAAAACGAAUCGGUACAAGAGAGAGACACCCUUAUUGGCUUAUUCUGCUCUUUCUUUUAUUUCUUUGUUGGCCUUCGCUUUCCUCUUCUGCUCUUCUUCUUC
rnacentral:misc_RNA from 1 species